rnacentral:rRNA from 1 species
UACGGAGGGUGCAAGCGUUAUCCGGAUUCACUGGGUUUAAAGGGUGCGCAGGCGGAUAUGUAAGUCAGUGGUGAAAUCUCCAGGCUUAACUUGGAAACUGCCAUUGAUACUAUCAGUCUUGAAUACCGUGGAGGUCAGCGGAAUAUGUCAUGUAGCGGUGAAAUGCUUAGAUAUGACAUAGAACACCAAUUGCGAAGGCAGCUGGCUACACGAAUAUUGACACUGAUGCACGAAAGCGUGGGGAUCAAACAGG